rnacentral:rRNA from 1 species
UACAGAGGGGGCUAGCGUUGUUCGGAAUUACUGGGCGUAAAGCGCACGUAGGCGGCUUGGUAAGUUAGAGGUGAAAGCCUGGAGCUCAACUCCAGAAUUGCCUUUAAGACUGCCGAGCUAGCAGGUGAGAGAGGUGAGUGGAAUUCCGAGUGUAGAGGUGAAAUUCGUAGAUAUUCGGAAGAACACCAGUGGCGAAGGCGGCUCACUGGCUCAUACUGGACGCUGAGGUGCGAAAGCGUGGGGAGCAAACAGG